GGAGAGGUCGCAUAGUUUGGCCUAGUGCGCACGCUUGGAAAGCGUGUAUACCGAAAGGUAUCGAGGGUUCAAAUCCCUCCCUCUCCGCCU
rnacentral:tRNA from 1 species